AUUGGGACUGAGAUACGGCCCAGACUCCUACGGGAGGCAGCAGUGGGGAAUAUUGCACAAUGGGCGCAAGCCUGAUGCAGCGACGCCGCGUGCGGGAUGACGGCCUUCGGGUUGUAAACCGCUUUUGAUCGGGAGCAAGCCUUCGGGUGAGUGUACCUUUCGAAUAAGCACCGGCUAACUACGUGCCAGCAGCCGCGGUAAUACGUAGGGUGCAAGCGUUAUCCGGAAUUAUUGGGCGUAAAGGGCUCGUAGGCGGUUCGUCGCGUCCGGUGUGAAAGUCCAUCGCUUAACGGUGGAUCUGCGCCGGGUACGGGCGGGCUGGAGUGCGGUAGGGGAGACUGGAAUUCCCGGUGUAACGGUGGAAUGUGUAGAUAUCGGGAAGAACACCAAUGGCGAAGGCAGGUCUCUGGGCCGUUACUGACGCUGAGGAGCGAAAGCGUGGGGAGCGAACAGGAUUAGAUACCCUGGUAGUCCACGCCGUAAACGGUGGAUGCUGGAUGUGGGGCCCGUUCCACGGGUUCCGUGUCGGAGCUAACGCGUUAAGCAUCCCGCCUGGGGAGUACGGCCGCAAGGCUAAAACUCAAAGAAAUUGACGGGGGCCCGCACAAGCGGCGGAGCAUGCGGAUUAAUUCGAUGCAACGCGAAGAACCUUACCUGGGCUUGACAUGUUCCCGACAGCCGUAGAGAUAUGGCCUCCCUUCGGGGCGGGUUCACAGGUGGUGCAUGGUCGUCGUCAGCUCGUGUCGUGAGAUGUUGGGUUAAGUCCCGCAACGAGCGCAACCCUCGCCCUGUGUUGCCAGCACGUCAUGGUGGGAACUCACGGGGGACCGCCGGGGUCAACUCGGAGGAAGGUGGGGAUGACGUCAGAUCAUCAUGCCCCUUACGUCCAGGGCUUCACGCAUGCUACAAUGGCCGGUACAACGGGAUGCGACACGGCGACGUGGAGCGGAUCCCUGAAAACCGGUCUCAGUUCGGAUUGGAGUCUGCAACCCGACUCCAUGAAGGCGGAGUCGCUAGUAAUCGCGGAUCAGCAACGCCGCGGUGAAUGCGUUCCCGGGCCUUGUACACACCGCCCGUCAAGUCAUGAAAGUGGGUAGCACCCGAAGCCGGUGGCCUAACCCUUUGUGGAUGGAGCCGUCUAAGGUGAGACUCGUGAUUGGGACUAAGUCGUAACAAGGUAGCCGUACCGGAAGGUGCGGCUG
rnacentral:rRNA from 2 species